rnacentral:lncRNA from 1 species
GGCAGACUUGUAAAGAACCAGAAACUCUGUCAUCAAGUGUAUUAGUGUUGCAUUAACAUAACAGUUGUAUGUUGUCAAGAAGCGUAGUAAAGAAAUCACCCAAGGAAGAAUAAAUUGAUAGUAGGUUGAUGGGGCUCACAUGAUUACACACACAGAUUUAAAGCAAGCGAAGUGAAAACUGCCAACUGAAAUGCCAAGACAAUAAUACCUUCCGGCGACGCCGGCUGAUCCGGCAGGCAACCGCCGCCGGCCGACGGCGAGAGAUUCAUACUUGACGAGCGAGCGUGCUUGAAGGCAACACGGGGAGCCCACGAGACGGGGAGGCGAGGGAGCGGAGAAAACGAAAGAAGGCUUCGUUUCCUGUUUCUACACCAAAUCACGAGCGCUUCCAAACAGCAUCACCAUCGCUGUCUCCUUCCCCGAACCGGCCAAGCCAAACCUCCUGCCUCCGCCGCACCCGGCCCGAAGGCGCGGUCCUUUUCGAUCCAAGAACUCCGAGUUUUCGAGCCUCUCGAUCCAGGAGCCCCAGCCCCGCCUCCGGGAAGCGUCAGGGGACUGGCGGCGGCGGCGGCGGGAAUGCGCCGCCUUUGCGGCCGCGGGAGCUAGGCAAGAACCGCGCCUCUCGAUUGCGAGAAGGCGGCGGCUCGUCAGAUCUCGCCGCCACGGGCUCCGAAACGGCAGCUCCCGGCUCCGGACGGACCCGGCCGUGGCUCCACGGCAGAUCCGCCCGCCGCCGCCGGUGUCGAUCAAGCUGCUGCUGCUUCUUGCCUGUAGCUUCCUGCCUGCUCGUGUUGCUACUUAGAAGAGGGAGGGGGAGGGGGGGGGGGGGGGGGGGK